GGGUCAGUAGGUUGGUCGUGCCACCGGUACGUACUGGUCUCACUGAUUCCUCCUUCCUGAAGAACCGUAAUGCCAUUAAUUUGGUGUUGCGGGGAAACAGGACUGUUACUUUGAAAAAAUUAGAGUGUUUAAAGCAAGCUAACGCUUGAAUACAUUAGCAUGGAGUAAUGAAAUAGGACGAUCGGUCCUAUUUUGUUGGUUCCUAGGAUUGACGUA
rnacentral:rRNA from 1 species